rnacentral:lncRNA from 1 species
UUGAAUUAUGUUGGGUUUUUUUCUUCUAAGUUUUUUUUUGUUUUUGCUUAUGAUGGAUCUCAAUCAGAUUAUGAACACUUGGUUCAGAGUCUGACUCAAAUAAGUUGGUUUACUUUUGAAAGACCUUAUCAAAUUCUAAACCAGAACCUAACUUAGAAUAUCAGGGUUAACAGCAGUGAAAUGAUAAGUAAAAAAAGAAAGGAAAGUAAAAGAAUAGACACAACCAGUUAUCCUGGUUCCUCUCAAAAC